UACGGGGGGAGCAAGCGUUGUUCGGAUUUACUGGGCGUAAAGGGCGCGUAGGCGGCCACUGCAAGUCGGUUGUGAAAUCUCCGGGCUUAACCCGGAAAGGUCAAUCGAUACUGCAGGGCUAGAGUGCAGAAGGGGCAACUGGAAUUCUCGGUGUAGCGGUGAAAUGCGUAGAUAUCUGGAGGAACACCGGUGGCGAAGGCGGCAUCCUGGACCGGCAUUGACGCUGAGGCGCGAAAGCCAGGGGAGCAAACGGG
rnacentral:rRNA from 1 species